UGCUUACACAUGCAAGUCGCACGGGCAGCAAUGUCAGUGGCGGACGGGUGAGUAACGCGUAGGAACGUGUCCUGAGGUGGGGGACAACCCCGGGAAACUGGGGCUAAUACCGCAUAUGGGCUGAGGCCCAAAGCCGAGAGGCGCCUUUGGAGCGGCCUGCGUCCGAUUAGGUAGUUGGUGGGGUAAAGGCCUACCAAGCCUGCGAUCGGUAGCUGGUCUGAGAGGACGACCAGCCACACUGGGACUGAGACACGGCCCAGACUCCUACGGGAGGCAGCAGUGGGGAAUAUUGGACAAUGGGCGAAAGCCUGAUCCAGCAAUGCCGCGUGGGUGAAGAAGGUCUUCGGAUCGUAAAGCCCUUUCGACGGGGACGAUGAUGACGGUACCCGUAGAAGAAGCCCCGGCUAACUUCGUGCCAGCAGCCGCGGGUAAUACAA
rnacentral:rRNA from 1 species